ACGAAGGUGGCAAGCGUUAUUCGAAAUCACUGGGCUUAAAGGGUGCGUAGGCGGACAUGAUAGUGUCAUGUGAAAUCCCCCGGCUUAACCGGGGAAUGGCUUGGCAAACUCCAUGUCUUGAGGCAAGUAGGGGUGUGUGGAACUCUUGGUGGAGCGGUGGAAUGCGUAGAUAUCAAGAGGAACGCCGAAGGUGAAGACAGCACACUGGACUUGUACUGACGCUGAGGCACGAAAGCGUGGGGAGCGAACAGG
rnacentral:rRNA from 1 species